UGGGCCAUAUAACCAUCAUAUAAAAAUCACACAGCCAAACCCAAAACCUAAUUUUUCCGCACCUCCCUCCAGCCGCCGCCGCUCCUCUUACUCCCUGGCGAGCAAGGGGGAGCGCUCCCCCUUCCCUUCUCUUCCUCCCCAGGCGGCGUAAUGCCGCCGGCGCAGCACCCCACCUUCCUCUGUGCCUCCUCCCCGGCCGCUCCCUUCCCUUCCUCUCCGUCUCCCAUCCCUUCCCCUUCCUCUCCUCCUCCUCCCGGCCCACGGCGGCCGGAGCUGCCCCUCCCCAGUCCUCUCCCUUCCCGCCGUCCUAAGCUCGGUGUCCACCAGAUCCGGCCGCCACGAGCUCGGGGGCCACCGGAUCCGCCGUCCUGAGCUCGGGGGCGACCAGAUCCGGCAGCCACGAGCUCCUAGGUGGCCAUAUCCGCCCCUCAACACCGUUGCAAUCUACCACCUCCGUGUUCCUGCCGUACUCCGUCUCUGCGCUCCAAAGAUUGCCGGAGUAAAAUAUAUGAACACAAGAGAAUUUUUUCAUCGUGAGACAAAAGGACCAACUAAUUUUCCUCUCUCGAGCCAUUUUGUGAAGACCUGAUGCAGUGGCAACACAGCUUAAAAAAUAGAGAAGUAUCAUAGUGAUUGAAAGGUACAGAUCGAUCAGAAUGUUUGUACAAUGUUUGCUGGAUGAUUUUAUCUUGAAAGAUAAAAUAUGAAUAUUUGUAAAUGUAUGUGUAAUGUGUACCAUUAAAUUGUAACAUGGACUAGAAAAUAGUUGGGAGACUUGGACUUGCUAUUUUCUUGCUAUAGGGUUGUAAACAGUAUUGACACAGUUGAAACUUGAUGUAUAUCUCAUUGAAGUUGAUGUCUCUGUGCACAAAUUGUACUGUGGAUGUUUGAUUGCUAUAGCAAAUUGGUGUAAAUAAAGA